rfam:Triticum aestivum genome assembly, contig: Triticum_aestivum_CS42_TGACv1_scaffold_556154_7AL
UACAUACUCCCUCCGUUCGGAAUUACUCGUCCAAGAAAUGAAUGUAUCUAGAUGUAUUUUAGUUGUAGAUACAUCCAUUUUUGUGACAAGUAAUUCCAUACGGAGGGAGUACUAC